AGUACGUAUCAUUGGGGGGGGGGGGCGGAGCGAAUCAUUUCAACACAUAGAAAGCUAAACAAAAUAAAAUAUUGUUAUCAAAUUAGACACACAAAAAAUCGUCUUACCACCAAUUAAAUCAUUUCAGCUUUUGGUAUUGGGAGGGAAGAAGAAAGUAAAACAUUUACAUUCUUAUCUUGUGAAAAAAGAGAUGAUUAGGUCCUACGCGUGUUCCUAGGUCAAUCUAGUCAUGCAUGUUAGGAUGAAUUCGACUAGGGAUGGUUGGGCUGACUAGGGAUGGUUGGACUGACUAAGGAUGGUUGGACUGACUAAGUAUGGUUGGACUGACUAGGGAUGGUUGGACUAACUAGGGAUGGUUGGGCUGACUAGGGAUGAUUGGACUGACUAAGGAUGGUUGGACUGACUAGGGAUGGUUGGGCUGACAAGGGAUGGUUGGACUGACUAGGGAUGAUUGGACUGACUAAGGAUGGUUGGACUGACUAAGGAUGGUUGGACUGACUAGGGAUGGUUGGACUAACUAGGGAUGGUUGGACUGACUAAGGAUGGUUGGACUGACUAGGGAUGGUUGGGCUGACUAGGGAUGGUUGGACUGACUAGGGAUGAUUGGACUGACUAGGGAUGGUUGGACUGACUAAGGAUGGUUGGACUGACUAGGGAUGGUUGGACUAACUAGGGAUGGUUGGGCUGACUAGGGAUGGUUGGACUGACUAGGGGUGAUUGGACUGACUAAGGAUGGUUGGACUGACUAGGGAUGGUUGGACUGACUAGGGAUGGUUGGACUGACUAGGGAUGGUUGGACUGACUAAGGGUGGUUGGACUGACUAGGGAUGGUUGGACUGACUAGGGAUGGUUGGACUGACUAAAGAUGGUUGGACUGACUAAGGAUGGUUGGACUGACUAAGAAUGGUUGGACUGACUAAGGAUGGUUGGACUAACUAAUGAUGGUUGGACUAACUAAGGAUGGUUGGACUGAAUAGGGAUGGUUGGACUAACUAAGGAUGGUUGGACUGACUAGGAAUGGUUGGACUGACUAAGGAUGGUUGGACUGAAUAGGGAUGGUUGGACUAACUAAGGAUGGUUGGACUGACUAGGGAUGGUUGAACUGACUAAGGAUGGUUGGACUGACUAAGGAUGGUUGGACUGACUAGGGAUGGUUGGACUAACUAGGGAUGGUUGGGCUGACUAGGGAUGGUUGGGCUGACUAAGGAUGGUUGGACUGACUAAGGAUGGUUGGACUGACUAGGGAUGGUUGGACUAACUAGGGAUGGUUGGACUAACUAAGGAUGGUUGGACUGACUAGGAAUGGUUGGACUGACUAAGGAUGGUUGGACUGAAUAGGGAUGGUUGGACUAACUAAGGAUGGUUGGACUGACUAGGGAUGGUUGAACUGACUAAGGAUGGUUGGACUGACUAAGGAUGGUUGGACUGACUAGGGAUGGUUGGACUAACUAGGGAUGGUUGGGCUGACUAGGGAUGGUUGGACUGACUAAGGAUGGUUGGACUGACUAAGGAUGGUUGGACUGACUAGGGAUGGUUGGACUGACUAAGGAUGGUUGGACUGACUAGGGAUGGUUGGACUGACUAGGAUUGAUGGACUGACUAGGGAUGGUUGGACUGAUUAGGAAUAGUUGGACUGACUAGGGUGGUUGGGAGAGGAAGGAGGUGGUUGCUAUUUGUUUUCAUUUUAUGUUCAAGCAUAAGAUUUAGUCAUGUUUGCAAGAUUAGUCAACUUUGUAACAUUUGAUUAAUUUUGUAUGAUUAAUUGAACUGCAAGAGAUCAAGUUAGUGUUGUAACAUUAGGUUCAGUUUGUAGGAUUACGUUAACGUUGUAACAUUAAGUUUCUAAUAUUAAGUUAUAUUUUUACCACUAUGGAUGGACAACAAAACACAAGUAUUCCCCCCCCCCCUUUUCUAAAGCAGAGAUUGUGUGUGUGUGCCAUAUGCGGUCUUUUACUUUUGUUAACUAAUCAAAUUUAAAUAAAGCAGCAGCGUAUUAAUUACGCUAUUCAAAUCACAAUUUUGUGGUCAUUUUCUUACCAAAUAAAAAAAAUACUUUUGAAUAGAUGUAGAUAUAAAUUUAUUUGAACACAUUUCAUCACAAUUGAUUGAUCAACAUCUUUUGUAACUUUCAUUGCAUUAUAAAUUAUAUAGAUUUAUUCUCAUUAUAUACUAUUAUUGUUAAUAAACCUUCACAAUAGAAAGACGUAUGAAUACAUUCUUCUUAUAGAGCAUUUCAUUCUCACUCUAAAAUAAACCUCACACUAAACUAAACCCUGCUGACCAUAUAGUAGAAGCCUACAUACACUCUCGCAAACAUUGGUAUGCUCUAUUUAUUUAUUCCCCCUAAUACCUUUCAACUUACUAAUGUUAUCUUUCCAUCCAAAGAAUCAUCUCUGGCCACCUGUGCCAGGUAUUGAUAUCUAGCACAUAUACGCCUCUGUUUUCCCCUGCCCCACCUCGAACAUCCACUCCUGCUCCCGUGGUGGGAAUGAACCCUUUAGCUACGAAAAAACGAAUAAGCUCGGGCGCUAAGGUCUGGGAGUUGCCGACAGAUCUGAGCUGAAACAGCCAUUCCAUGAGGACGAACCUGACGUGAACCUUCUCGAAGAACUUCUGGGCACAUUUCAAUGCAUGCGGCUCCGAGCCUUCUAUGUCCAUUUUGAGAUAAACGCUGGGCGCUUUGACCAGAGGCAGCAGGUCGUCCAGACAUAUGGUGUCCACCAGAACCAGAUCUUCCACUUGGUCGUCCAGACGGGUUGAGUUCAUUGGGACAACCUCAGAGCCCCCAACGUUACCGUCUGGAUUAAUAUAAACAGCCAAACGAGACUUUCGGUCGCUGUAAAUGGCAUUGUGAACAAGCGUAACAAGCUGAGAUAUUGUUUGAGCAUUCAGAUCGACAGCCUUCUCUUCAUCUACGUCUUGUGUUAAAGGAUGCUUGUGUGUAGAUCUAGCUACUGCUGGGCGAAAUUCAUUUUUUAUAGCAUCUUUUUGAAUUUUUGUCUUGGUUUGACUGAUUUGAUUCGACUUGAUCUCUUUGUUUAGAGUGUACUUCAAUGAUUGGUUCAUAUGGAGCAAUGCUCGUGACAGUUUUCGCGUUUUGAUUUUAUAUUUCCUUUUUACUUUAAACUUAUUUUUAUAAGUUUCGCUGACAUUUUUGUAGCUAUUUUGUAAAGAUAAAGAAACUUUGUUAAAUGA